rnacentral:tRNA from 1 species
CAAAGAAUAGUUUAGAUCAGAAUCCUAGCUUUGGGAGUUAGGGGUGAGGGUUAAAAUCCCUUUUCUUUGA